rnacentral:tRNA from 1 species
AAGAAAUUAGGUUUAACCUUUAA